rnacentral:rRNA from 1 species
AAAGUACUUUGAAAAGAGAGUUCAAUAGCACGUGAAACUGUACAUUGAAAAGCGGAUGAGAGCACAUGCACUGAAUGAAGUAAUUCACCUUCAUGCGUUGUGUAAGUCAAUGUAUGAUAUGUUGACAUGAAAUAUCAAAGUAUGAAGCGCAUUCUACUUAUUCACAAGCUGUUCAGGUUCAGUCUUACGCUAGUCACAUGUAUCGUACGUUUGAUCUUAUGAUCAUACGAGUUUCAUGAGUAGCGCGCGAAAAUGAACCUAGAAACAAUGUUUGGCAAGCACAUAAAUGUCAGUAUGUGUGGUUAGAGCAACUGCUUUGAAAAAAGCAGAUUGAAUUUUCCCCCAUGCUGCGUGCAUUCAGCUAUGUCAAACUAACGAAGAACAGUGAAAUGUGUGCGGUAUCAUCCGAACCGUCUUGAAACACGGGCUAAGGAGUUCAACCUGUACGCGAGUUUUCUUGUUUACAGAUGAAACUGGAAAGCGUAGUGAAAGCAAACUUGUAAAGAGUGCGUGCAAACUGUUCAUUAAUAUGGACGGAUGAGCACUGGUGAUGGGUGGUACGCAAAUUUUGAGCUACUGUCUGCAACAGAGCGUAUAAGUUGAGACCCGAAAGAUGGUGAACUAUGCCUGAGCAGGAUGAAGCCAGAGGAAACUCUGGUGGAGGUCCGUAGCGCUUUUGACGUGCAAAUCAAUCGUCUAACUUGGGUAUAGGGGCGAAAGACUAAUCGAACCAUCUAGUAGCUGGUUCCCUU